CAAAUAUGAUCAUUUGUCAUUAUGUGCAGACAGCUUCAGUAAUCAUAACUUUGAGAUAAAAAGUAAUACAAAUUAUUUUUAGACAUUGCUGAAGAUGAUUUUAACUCAAGUGUGAACGCAGUCAAAGUGUCAAAAACAACUAUGUUUAACAUUCAGGUGGCAAGUUUCAAGGCAGAUGUUUCAUUUUAAUAUCCGGUGUGUUGUGUCCUGAAGCUUUACAACAUAACAUUAAAAAAGAGAGAGAAACAGGUUCCUUUAUGUAAUUGUAAAACAAUUUUAAAGUUACGUUGAUGAAAAAUUAUCUUUAAUUUCUUUAUUUAAUCAGUACCUUUUUUAAAUACUUAACUUAUCUUUACUAUCUCUCCUUCUUUUUGCUACUUUGAAAUUGAAUUUAGUACAUUUUUAAAAAUAGAAUAUAAUUUAUAAUUUUUUAUAAUAAUUUAUUUAUAAUUUUUUAUAAUAAUUUAUAUUUUUUAUAAUAAUUGAUAUUUUUUAUUUGUGAACUAAUUUCAAGCAAUUUAACCAUGCUUUCUGAUUUACGAAAGCCUGGUAAUGUACAUGUACAGAGCAUAUGAGUAUGUGUUUUAUUCUUGAACAUUUUUUUCUUUUGUUCACCUUGGAUUGAACAGCAUGAGGGAAAUGCAGUGACCAGCAGGGCUGGAAUGAUAGGCUGGAUUGUGCAGGAACUGGGAAAAGUGGUUCCACAGCCAGAUGAGAAAUACAGGGUCCACACAGAGACGGAGGAGGUCACUGAGGUGCCAGAGGUCAAACACGUUCAUGGUGAGCUCAGCCUCUUAAUCGGCACGUCAUAUAGAUCAGUAUAAACUUUGGCUUUCUGAAUUUGCAUUGCAAAGGGUUAAUGAGAGAGGACACAAAACACGUGACAUGAAUCUCACUCUCACCAGAUGCUGAGCCACUGCCUCAUAUUCCUGUGGUGGAGGUUGUGCCUAAUGAGGAACCAGACUCUGCUAACGUGCCUUUCUCUCCCAGGUAUAUGUAUAUACUGUAUCAGCUGUCAGAAGCUAAUCUGAACUCUCAUUCUGCCUGAACACAUUUAACCUAUCUGUUUCUUUCUCUUUCAGGGUAAUAGAAUGGAUUAAGCAUGGUUUUGAGAAAGUAGUUCCUCAGUCUCCUGUCCAUCUUCGUCCUCCCACUAGCACAGAUGCACCCGCCCAGAAGGUUGCUUCUGCACCUGUGACUCCCUGCAAACAAGAGCCAGGUAACAUUUUAAAAAUCAAGAAUGUUAGGCUUUCUUGGUGACAGAGUGGUCUGUGUUUGACAUUUUUCUUUUAUUUAGCACCUGCACCUGCACCAGCACCAACACCUGCUCCUGCACCUGCACCAGCACCAGCACCAGCACCAACACCUGCACCUGCAGCCCCACCUGCACCUGCACCUGCAGCUCCUGAGCAACCUAAAGUAGCUGAGGAUUCCAAAGGCACGAAGUGAGUGUCCACCUGCUUCCCUUAAAAUGUCUAUGGUUAUGCUCCAACCCGAUUUCAUGAAAGUGCGUAUAAAUAGUAUGCCAAAAAAAUAAAAACUUGUGGUAUUGAUACGCA
ensembl:lncRNA